UGUCUGCCCAGACUUACCUCAGUGAUGGAGUGUGACCUGAGAGUUCUAAGCUGAGGGGAAACUGAGGCUGAGAGAUGUCUGCUGCAAACACGUCUCCACCCACUAUGACCUGAGUGUGCCCCCGGGGCUCACUCUCCCCUGGCCUGCAGUGAUUUUUCUCUGGGUGUGCUGGAGAGUGGAGAUGGGAAAAGCUACAGUCUCUGAACCCAACUGAAACAGGCUGCCCUGCACUCUGGACAGACCGAUCCCUGGCAGUGGCAGGUGUAUGGAUCUGCAAGUGUGUGCAUGUACCUGAGCAUCCCACGGAGUGUGUGUGGGCUUGAGAGAAGGUACCCACCUUCUGUCAGCUAUCAGCUGACUUCACUUAAACAGCAGGGGAACAGAAGAGAGGAUGGGAAUGCUGGCUGGGACAUUCACAGACACCUUCCGAUCUGAGCUUCCAGGAUGCUUGGCCUCCAGUUCUAGGAAAGAUGGAGUCUGGGCACCAGUCAAGCAACCAUAGAGACACAAACCCAAGGCAGUCAGAGUCACAAUGACUGGGAGGAACAGCUGGGAAAUGGCUUCAGGGCCUGCCUGAGCCAGGAGCCACUGGCCCAAGAGGCUUCUUUAGGCCACAACUGAAACAUAGGAAAAGAUGGCCUCCUGAGAGCUAGCUGCAUUACUGUGAGUUCAAGGGAAGAACAGGAGAGAAGAGAUGAAGACAUCUAUCUACCAGAGUCUGGGGACAAGAGGGAGGAUGUCACUCUGGCUGGGGCCACAGAGCCUGUGGAAAGCUGACACAUCCCUCCCCGUUUCAGCCCUGCUCUUUAGAAUGUCAGAGGGGAAGUGUAAUUAAGGCCAUGCAGCUGUGAAGGAUUAGUAUUCCAACCUGGAAAGCCUGAGUUUUAAUUAGUAAUUAGGCCUUUUCUGCAGAGCCUGCAAACAAGCAGAGGUUUGGUGACCUUUCUUCUCCUGAAGGCACGGUGACAGCCUGGCUGACACGCUGAUACACCUAGGGGCUUUUUCAGAGAGGCCUGGACGAGGCACAAAAGCAGCCUUACUCUUCAUGGUGGGGCCGCCAGUAAGGGGCUCCUGCAGAUCCCUGCUCCCUACCUGGCUCCCAGAGCUUACAGCCAGCACCCCCAAACCCAUCUGGGCCCUGGAAAUGACAGGUCUGGUGGCUUCUUCAACAUGAGCCCAAGGUCACCACAUUUCCAUCAGGAGUCCCUGCAGAUGGGAAUCAGGAUGGGUCUGUGUCCAGAAGGCAAGUGAGCAGGACCUAGAGGAACAUGAGCCCUUCAGCUGGGCUCCUAGAAUCACAUGGCCCUUCUGCUCCGUCUUGGCUAUCUAUCACCAUGUACAAAAAAAAUCACCAGGCUUUUUCUGGCAGGCCUGACUCCCAACCUGUUCCCAAGAUGUUAGGAGAGGCCAUGAACCACAUGGGGUCUGUUGGCCAAGCCAUGACCAGGACCCAGGGCUACAGCUCCCAACUACUCUGCCCCAAGACAGGCCUCUGAACCCUCCUGUAGCUGCCUAGCCCCUGUUUGACCACAUUGCCCAGCCAUCAUCAUAAGGGACACACUUGCACCUAGGGUGUACUGGCCCACAUGGGCACAGAUGCCUUCACACCAUCCCAGGAAAGCACAAGCCCUGGGACACCACUCGGGUCUAACCUAUGCCUCUCAGGGGACUCAGCCAAGGGUCUCAUUAGCUCUUGUCCACUUUGUGGGGUCCUGUAGCUAUGACCAGCAUGUCACAGGACAUGGACACUUAUGAUGCUUCCAAGUGUCUGUAUGCACCUCUCAGAGAGAGGACAGACCUGUUUGAAUUCAACAUCAUGGUCACAUUAAGGUUUUUUUGAGGACCUCUGUGUUUGUAUGUGUCCCACUCAAAAGGCCAGUGGGGCAGGUGACUCUGAAGCAUUGCCCCUGGUGGGUUAUUUGUCAGCACAGCCUGGGCUGGCUGGAUGCAGGUUGUAAUAUCAUAGACAACACAAUACAGGUCUAUUCCUGUAGCUCAUCCUUGCUGCUCAUUCCCAGCAAAGAGCCCUUCCCUGAGACCCAUCAGGCUAGGCCCUGGGGGGACAGUAGGAGGGAGGAGCCCCCCCCCCCCUUCACCAGAAUGAUGCAGUCUGCAGACUUCAUAGUAACUCAGAAGUGAGCUCUCCCUUCCAGCACCAUAUAAACUUUAAUUGGGCUUUUUAAAGGUCACGAAAACAAAUACUUUCUCAUAAAGAAACCAUUUGGGCACGCUCAAAAACGCACAGGUAACUGUUAGUGUGAGUUGAUUGUUCAUGCCAGGGAACAGACGUCUCUUGCACACAGGCAUAUCCGUACCUGGUGUACCCCACCUCUGGGCAUGGGGCUACUGUAACCAGCCAUGAGACUAAGGCUGGCACUGUGGGGUAGGCUGAGGUAGGAAGAGUACCUUGGGGCUGGAGCUUCACACAGCCCUUCACGUCUCCGCCCCUCACCUUCCUCUGUGUCACAGACUUGUUGGCCUUUCAACAUCUGAGACGCAUAUAUUCUCAGAUGGGGAAACUGAGGCCCAGUGGGGUUAAGUCAUUCAAAAAGUGACUAUACCCAGUCCAGUCUCUGUAACUCCCAAGUGCGAC
ensembl:lincRNA F730016J06Rik RIKEN cDNA F730016J06 gene